GACGAACCGUCCAAACGUUAUUCGGAAUCACUGGGCUUAAAGGGUGCGUAGGCGGCGCGGCAAGUUGGGUGUGAAAUCCCUCGGCUCAACCGAGGAACUGCGCCCAAAACUACCGUGCUCGAGGAAGAUAGAGGUGAGCGGAACUUAGGGUGGAGCGGUGAAAUGCGUUGAUAUCCUAAGGAACACCGGUGGCGAAAGCGGCUCACUGGAUCUUUUCUGACGCUGAGGCACGAAAGCUAGGGUAGCGAACGGG
rnacentral:rRNA from 1 species